AAAAAAUGGAUAUCUAUUCUGUGAACAGAGAAGGAAUUCAAUGAUGCUAAUAAUUAUUCUGCAGCAGGGAGAAGCUGAUAUUUUAGUGAAUGUUCCCCUUUGACAUGAACUUUUUCCCUCUUUUAUGUUAGGGGGAUUGUUUACAUAUAACAAGGAAAAACUCCUAUUUCCAUUUAUUUUAAAAAAUAUAUAAAAAAAAAAAAUCCCUCUGUGGGCUGUCAGAGCUGAAAAUACACUGAGCUGGCUGCCUCUGGGCAUUUAUCAAACUUCAAGUGCCCAUGACUCAUUCCUUGAUUACAAAAGAAAAAAUAAUAACUUUCAAAUUUGCUACACGAGAGACUUAAACAGAGUUCUCAAUGCUACUGCAUGGCAGAAGAAAGAAAAAAUGGAAAGGCUAUACCAACUCUAGUACAAAAUGGGGUUCUGUUUCAGUUCCCUAGCAUUCAUGUUUAAAAAAAAGUCUUAUCUACUUUAAAGAGGAGGAAUUUGAAAUUAGCUCUGCAUGCACUUCAUAAGACUCAUCAUCAAAAAGAGAAUGAAUACUUUAUGUGCUGAGCAUAGUGGAUGCAGAAACAAAGAUGUUAUCAAUACGUGUUAUUUGGAAUACAUAUGGAAAGAACAAAAUAUAUGGUAGCACUUUUUCAUCCUGAUUCUGGUAAAUAUGAGAAAGAAAGAGAUUUGGUGUAAAUUUUACCACUCCCAAAGUGGGAAAUUAGGAGGAAAGGUAACAGCUGUCCCAGGAAGUAGGCUCUCUUUAAAUGCAGUCAUCCAAGCAGAGUACCCCAUAUGAAAUGGAGUGUGGGUAAGAUGGGGCUAUACUUGGUUUCAGGCUUUGCUUCUUGCAUUUGUUGCAUCUAUUCUUUUUUUAGCAGUUGCACAAAUAUCUGUUUCAUUUGUUGCAGUCAAUGAAACCUGAAUCUCCUCUUCUGACAGAGGACUUGUUGCAAGGGUGAUCUUCAGCUGCUUGCAAGCUAUAGACAAAAUCUUGCUUGGUCAUGGGGAUUGCAGUCUGCUCCUUCUGUUAGAAGAAUGGGAAAGGAGACAUGAACAGGGAGCAAGAUUGUCUGUCUAGUGAUGUUAAUACUGUCCAUGAUUUUGGAUAACAUCUACAAAAGAUUAACCCAAGGGAGAUAGGAAGGACUGAAAGGAAAAAAUGAACUGCAGCCUCUUCUCACUUCAGCCUAUUUACUGAAAAUCUCUUAACUCUACUUAUUCUCCUGUCUUUUGAUUUUUAAGUAAUUCAACUCUAAUAGAUAAUAUGAUACAGUUUUGAUACAUAACCUGUUACAUAAGAUACCAUGCCUCUACUAUUCAAAAGAAAUAAUUUCUGUAGCAUUUCAUAGCAAAACGUAAAGUAGUCCAUGGGAAGAGUAAACUGAAAAAAUAAUUAAAAAAAAUUAUGAUUCAGGUCUA